UCUAGCUCUGAUAUCCUCUGUUUUAGAGUCCUUUCUAGCUCUGAUAUUCUCAUCCCUAAGGCUACUUCCUCAGAAAAAAUCUAUGUGGUUUGCUCAGUAGCAACUGAGUGAAAGUAAAGGCAGCAGAUGGUGGAAGUAAUCCAAGACUGAGACUUAAAAGGGCAAAAUUGACAAUAGGAUAAGGGAGCAAAGAACUCAAGAGGAGAGCACAAAAAUGAACAGGCUUACCAAGGAGUCAAGAAGAGAAAGGGAGGAGAAUGUCAAGAAUAUAAAAGCAAUGUCCUGGGGGUGAAAAACCUGAGGGGUAGAAGGAUAAGACAAAGAUUAAGCUUUGGGGUUACAAAGCAGAGAACAGAGUGGAAUGAUUGUGAUGAAAUAAGGGAAUGUCACAGCUCAUGAAUUUGGAAUAGAAAGUGCCAUUUGUAAAGGUGAUGGCAAGAUCAAGGCUAUGACUAUUUCUAUGUGUGCUGAAGUGGGGUGGAGAAGUGGUCCUAGGAAAUAAGCAAAUUGAAGAGGAAGUAUGUCCAUCAACUGAAGAAUGGCUGAACAAGUUGUGCAGUACAAUCAACGUUCUGAAUCAUCAUCAAUUCCAUUGUGUGAUCACAAAAGGAAUCCCUCUUUCUAUGAAUUUUUCCUCUAACAAACAUGCUCUACCCUGCAUGAAAAGGUAACAGGAAUUUCUGAAAGUCUGUGGUCCAAAAUGCGAAGGACAGGUGCUAAGAAAAUGAUGAAGAAAAUAAAGGAAAUUUUAAAAGAUUGUAACAAAAUUCAUACUUUAUACAAUUUUUGAUACCAUGAUCAGAAGUGAAAGACAUGCCCACCCACAGGUGUAUUCAGGCCUGCACACUCAGGAAUACCCACUUUUCUAAGGGCAUACAAGUGCUGAGUGGGUUCCAUUAAGGAUCUUUGGAAUUUGAGAGUGACACUUUUAGUUAAUAUGUGCUAGUAUGAUUAAUAAAAAUAAUUAAUUAUCCAGAAAUGAUCUCUUGAACUUUUUAUGUCAUGACUUCUCUCCUAUGACACUGCCACCAACUUGUAAUAGGUUCUGAUCACCUCAUAUCUGGAAUGUUUUUUUUUUUU